GGGGGACAACAUCUCGAAAGGGAUGCUAAUACCGCAUACGUCCUACGGGAGAAAGCAGGGGAUCACUUGUGACCUUGCGCUAAUAGAUGAGCCUAAGUCGGAUUAGCUAGUUGGUGGGGUAAAGGCCUACCAAGGCGACGAUCUGUAGCGGGUCUGAGAGGAUGAUCCGCCACACUGGGACUGAGACACGGCCCAGACUCCUACGGGAGGCAGCAGUGGGGAAUAUUGGACAAUGGGGGGAACCCUGAUCCAGCCAUGCCGCGUGUGUGAAGAAGGCCUUAUGGUUGUAAAGCACUUUAAGCGAGGAGGAGGCUCUUUUGGUUAAUACCCAGAAUGAGUGGACGUUACUCGCAGAAUAAGCACCGGCUAACUCUGUGCCAGCAGCCGCGGUAAUACAGAGGGUGCAAGCGUUAAUCGGAUUUACUGGGCGUAAAGCGCGCGUAGGCGGCCAAUUAAGUCAAAUGUGAAAUCCCCGAGCUUAACUUGGGAAUUGCAUUCGAUACUGGUUGGCUAGAGUGUGGGAGAGGAUGGUAGAAUUCCAGGUGUAGCGGUGAAAUGCGUAGAGAUCUGGAGGAAUACCGAUGGCGAAGGCAGCCAUUUGGUCUAACAUUGUCGGUUGAACCUGGGCGCCAACUCA
rnacentral:rRNA from 1 species